rnacentral:rRNA from 1 species
GACGAACCGUACGAACGUUAUUCGGAAUUACUGGGCUUAAAGGGUGCGUAGGCUGCGCGGAAAGUUGGGUGUGAAAUCCCUCGGCUCAACCGAGGAACUGCGCUCAAAACUACCGUGCUCGAGGGAGACAGAGGUGAGCGGAACUUAGGGUGGAGCGGUGAAAUGCGUUGAUAUCCUAAGGAACACCCGUGGCGAAAGCGGCUCACUGGGUCUCUUCUGACACUGAGGCACGAAAGCUAGGGUAGCGAACGGG